GCAUUACACAGUUCUCACGUCGUCCAACUUGGAUGAGCCCGCUGAUACUUGCUCGUCUGCCUCGUUACAAUUUUCAAAAGCAACUUGAUGGUUUCCGCGUAACCACACACGUUACCCAGCUGAAUCUGACGUACACAAUUAAUACCCUCUUGAAUGUUAAUUUGACCCGACGUCGCCCAUAAAAACCCUGAUGCGAGGUACUGAAAGAGACUAUAUUUUUUAGUGCAUUAUAUUUUUAUUCGAUAUAUCUGGUGUACUGGAUGUCUGGUAUGUUAAGUUUUUGAAGCAGCAAAGGCGUAAAAUAUUACCGGUGACAAAACGUGACAUUAACAGCGAGCAAACAUUUUUCGUUGUACAAUUAAACGCGAUAGUGCCGCUUGAUUAUCAUUCCGGAAACGUGACUUUUUGGAUUUUUCAAACUGCGGCCGGGACAAAAGAACGAGAACGUCAGUGUGUGUGCGUAUUAGAGUGAUGAGGCAGAAAAGCGAGAGAGAGAGAGAAGAAAAACGCGGAUAGAAAGAGGAAACAAGAGAGAGUAAAGGGGAACAGGUAACGAGGGUUAAAGUGCGAGUACUCGUCAAUUAUGAAACGUUUCUCUCCAUCGGGGGAAAAUUGCGUCCUAUUAAGGAAAGUACUACGUGUCCGAGUGAAAUUUUCGGCCGGCCGCGCCGCCAUUGCGAAGGAUAAAAACACUGGGGGUCGUACAAUGGCCGCGGAAUAAAUCGCCGCCUCGCACGCAGAGGGACAAAGCGAUACCUUAACGGCAUUAAUAAAAUUAUUAUCCCCGGCCAGGCAAAUAGGUCACGUGAGGGCGAAAACUACAAGCGAUUUAUCGUGCGCCCCUGCCGAGAGGGUAGCCCCGCAUUGUACAAACACAAUAAGGACACGCCUGUCUCUAGUACCUGACGUGAUUUUCGUUUUUGCUUCAUUACGGGUUCAUUAUCGUAAUAGCGAAAUUGUGUUCUGAACUCGUAUUCUCCACUCAAAUGAGUAAGGGAGAGAGAGACAAAGAGGGAAAGAGAGAGAAGGGAACAAGGUUCUUCGUUUGCGCGGUUAAAAUUUUAUUUAUCUCAUUUAUAAAUAAUUCUUCUCACUACACCCAGAAAACACACCCGGAAACAACGGGAUCUCGAAGGGUAUGCGGCAGGAACGGAUCUAAAAAUCAAUUUCUUUGACGGAGAAUUGUGAUUUAUAAUACAUGCAAACGCAAGAAACAUCAGAGUAUGACCGAAUGUGAGACUAUGCAGGGAAGCAGCAAAAGCAGAACGGCGCGCAACGGGAAUCUCGCUUGCCAAUCAAUGGCGCUCACAAUCAAUAUGAUUGGUCAUGUGGUGGAGAUAAAAUUGUGCACAUUCAUCAAGCCUUAGUCAGACUGAUGGCCGUAAACAUGUUCCCGUUUUGUGACAAGUUUGGGUAUCGAACAAUUUAUGCAGCCGUUGGACGUGAGCCGAAUUGCGGGGGAUCAGUCUGUCAAAGAUCUCAUUCGGCUUAUGUUAAAAUAAAAGGGGAACUUAAUCUUUUUUAUCCCAUGCCAAGCAGAAAUUUAUUGUCUGUUCCGUACGAGCGCUUAAACUGCCAUUGUCGUCGUGUUGCGGCAAACAGUUCGUUUCGCCUGCACUUAAUCAUGUCCUUCCAGAUACGUAAAUAUUGUACAAAUAUUCCGCAAAAGUUUCAAUCCUCUUUCAUAAACGUUACAGACGUUUUAUCGUUUUAACCAGCGUCACAAACGUAUUAUAUCACGCGCAAUGAAAUUAUUUUUUCACAUGUAAUUAACGGGGCCUAUUAUAAAAUGUAUUUUAAUGCAGUUGGUGAUGCAUUAACGCGCGCAGGUGAAUUAGUAAGCUCCGAAGUUAGUGAACGGACAAUUAUUAAAAACGGUCGCUAAUCUCCAAUGCGUUUCACCAAGCACGCAGCGUCAGAAUAGUUAAUGAAUUAUUUCAGAGAUAUUUCGAAUUAUCUGUUUCGGGCUCACUGAACGGUUAGAACGGGCCACGCACGUGCGACUACUCGCGCACCUGCAAAGAAUAACGUGCGUUUUGCUUAAAUAUAACGCAUUAUACCCAGUAAGCAUUUUAAUUAGACUUUUAAUGAGUUAAUAAAACAGUUUGCGCUUUUCUUAAUAAUGGUUGUUCAUUCGAUAGCAAGUAAUUCCAGAAUGUAGUUUUCCUGUUUUCCUAUUCCGCCGAGUCACUUUACCUAAUUUCGAUAGAGCGGUCCGGCCAUAAGUCUAAACAACUUCGUUUACGCUCGCAUGUCGAAAUUUAUUAAUGUAUCGCUCAUUAGGUUGUAAUGAGCAGUAAAUAGAGUUUAGUCUCCCUUAGUAGGAGGACAAAAAAGGACCGUAACAGAAUCAGUGGGGCGUGCGAACCGUGAUGCAUCGGGCGCAUGUAGCGAAAAUGCAAGGGGAAAGUUAAGUUUGUUCCACUUUUAUCGUUGUUGCUGCUGCGUAGCGCGCAGUCUAUCUCGAAAGCAGCGGAAACGGUAGAAUUCAAUAAUGCCAGAAUAUUUCUGAUUAUUUAGAUUAGAACCAUCCGGUUCGACCGGCCCGAGGCUAUCAACGAAUAUAUUAUUUUCCUUCAACCGGAAUAAAAUCUACUACCUUUAAUGCAGUUAUGCAAAUUAGAAACGACAAGUGUUUUCUGUGAGAUUUAUGGAUCGAUAUUGGGCUAACAUAUCCGAAUAUAAAAAAAAGGGAUAUUAUUAGUUUUGAUUUCACAUAUUUUACAAAUGUGCAUAUUUCCCUCAUGCAUUUAUGUUAGUUGCUCUAUUGUAUAAUAUAUAUUUGUUUAAAUGUUCAUUGUUAAUAAAUGUUCUGUUUCCAUUGUAUAACGCCUCUGUCUCCAAUGGAAACGUAUUCAGCCAA
rnacentral:misc_RNA from 1 species